rnacentral:lncRNA from 1 species
ACGAUAUAAUAAGAUCAAUAAUUGAUUUCGUAGGGGCCAAGCAGACAUACAGGAUUAUAUGGCUCACUUGCAUUCUUCUACUUACUGUUUUGAUUCUUCCUUUCCUACUUCGGGCUGACUCCUUACUCCUUACUUCAGGGAAUCGGUGAGUUCUAUCUCUUCUCUUAAUCAGGGAAUUGGUAGGCUUACUACUGACUAGUUUACUUAGGGCUUACUUCACUGACUUAAGGCUUACUACCAAUAGUUGCAUUCUGACUUCAUAUACUAACAGACUUCAUAACCAGUAACAGACUUCAUACGAGCAAUCGGUGGGCAAGUUUACAAGCUACUACUUCACUGUUGAAGGCUGCUACUCACCAGUAUCGGGCUUGCUACCUUGACUCUCAGUCUCGCUACCCCUACUUUAAGCCUGCCCAGCAUUGGUAUCAGUCUUAAGCACUAGCAUCGGUCUUACUACCCUGGCUUUCAUUCUUGUUAGCACUCGUUUAAGUCUUCGACUACUGGGUUGCAUUCUGUUUGUUAGGUGCCUCGGUCCUGUUAGCAGUGAGUUAAGCCUUGAUAGUAUUAGUUGCAUUCUUGUUAGCAUCGGUUGUAGUCUUAGGUCUUUGAUCGCUCCAUUCCGAGUAGCAAUACAUAGAAUCAGUAGACACCGCAUCAGUCUUAGUAUCCCCGGCAUCAGUCUGAGAAACCUAAGCUUCAGUCUGCAACUACCUAAGU